rnacentral:lncRNA from 1 species
CAAUUCAUAGUAUAAUGGUCCAAAUCAUUCUCUAUAUCUGACCAUCUCUUCCUGCCGGUAUUGAUCAUCCAAGCUUGCUGAAAUGGCAGCCUCAAUCUGUGCCUCAUCAUUUGGAGCGAAAGCCUCCUCUGACUCUCUAGAGUGAUAGAAAGGUGGCUCUGUAGCUUGACGGUCCACCUCUGCCCUCUUCUGUUUUGUCUUUCUUUCGCUGCUCUUGAAUCAGCGAAGUACUUUUUCAUCAACUGUCGAACCUCCCGUGGAUAUUUCUGACAUACGGACACAUCAGGAUAACCAUCAGUUAGGUGCUGCUUCAACCUAGUCACCUCUCCUC